UGCCAAGUGCUACCUACGUCAAAUAUGUAUGCAUUCUUACUGUCAACUUCAUGCAAAGUUGGCGUGGUCAGAGUCUUGGUGCAUUUCAUACGUGUCAGCAAAAUUGAUUGGAAUAGAGAGGUAAAUUGUAAGAAAAAAACGUGCUCCUUAGUUUGACAUCCGAAACAGAUGGCGCUGUACGGCGCCUGUCAGAUUGGAAGCACGAAAUUGUCUUAGAUUUUACACAUCUUACUCAAUCAAUGCAUGUUUGGUGUCAGUUUUCUAACACCUAAUAUAUACGCCAUCUAUCAGUAAACUGCCGGACUUAUUAUCAUUGGAAAUUACGACGCUUUCUCGUUCCUGUCCCGUGUUCCAGAUUUACGUUAGUACGGACAUUUUUCAAUAGAUGACGCUAUAGAUGAUGAAGUUUAUGUAAAAUUAUACUGGCCACUAGAACACUGCGAAUAUGUUAUCUUAUCACUUCAUGGUUAUAAUAAUUAGAUGUAUUUCAACUAUUGACAGAUAGUAGUAAUAUUUAGACAGAUAGUAGAGAUUUGUGUAAGAUUGUCUUUAUACUUAAUAUUUAUAUAUUUAUUUAGGUAAUAUUUGACACACAUAAAUGGACACAAUGAAUUUAUAGCAAGCAGCUACCUCUCCUUCGACACUUUUUCUCCUAUUAAUAUCGGACGAGCUCGAGUAGGUAACAUGUAUAAAGUUCGAAUUUUAUUUUAAAGGAGAAAAUGGAACAAGUUACGCUUGCGACAGGACUUGAACCCGCAACCUCCGCAAUCCGUGCGUUUCUCUUAACCAAUUGAGCAAAGAAGCCUACCAGUGUAUAAAGUUCGACUUUAUGGAUGAGUUUUGUUCAAAAUACAUUUUAUACCAGCUCUAAUAGAAUAACCUCACCUAAAUAUCUAACAAUGAAAGUGAAAAGAAGGGUGUUCUGGUGUACGCUUUAGCACAAAUUACCCAUUUUAUCCUCGACUAUCCGCUCUGAUAUAAUGCGUUGUAUUGUGCUCUCGGUGUACAUUCUUUUAUCAGAAGAAAGUUCAGCUUACUAUUUUCCCAUUAAAGUGCUAUUAUGGGUGACUUACCUACUUAAUAAAAUAGGCACUCGAGAGAGAAAAAUAUGUAAUACCUUGUAACACAUUUUUUGCUGUUAUACAUAAACAUUGUAAUACGGUUGCAAAUCCCUAACAUGAAAUGUACAGUCAGCAUCAAUAGUAACGGAUGAAAAAACGCGCCAAAAGUAACUGAUAUUCCGGAUAAUUUUUCCAAAUAUAGAUAAAUCUCUAAAAUUCACGUUAUUAAGUAUAUCUUUUACAGUCUUCAUUGUUCUACAUAUAGAACCAUCACUUUUUGUUAAGCUGUUACAGAAUGGUAGAUACUUUUGAAGCGUUGUUUAGUCCUAACGGACUUUGAUGCUGACUGUACCUAUUUCAGAUUAGGAGAUUCAUUUAAAUGCGAAGCGACUCUUUGACCCUGUAUUGAGAGACCUUCGAUUUUAGAAUAACGUGGACGCAUGCCCCGGGCAUUUAAAAAUAAUUAUACCCGACAAUCCCUAAUCGUUUGUACCGUGGAUUGGGGUUACUUUGAUUCCUGGGUUUACUUUGAUAAAAACUUUACCUCAGGUUCAAACUCAGAUAUUACGCUCUCUGAAUGCAUCCUUUGGAUAUUUUUUUUACGGUUGGCAAGAUUGAACGUCACUGCCAGUUUGUGAUUUAUGUUCGAGGGAUAAACCACGUCGAUCGAUAAGAAAAAAAUUAAAAUAUAAUAAUGACUUGUUCAUUAAAAAAAAAGCGAUUAGUUUCCCGAGCAUAUCGGAACUACUAUGAAAAAGUUUUAAACCUGUGACAGAAGAGGUUGAAGCCAGGUUGUCGAUACGCCAAGCAUCCGAACAUCAUGGUGUUGUCGAUUACAUAUUGUUGGUAAAGUUUGAUAACUUUUUACUGUUCAAUAAUUAUGCUUCUAAACAUAAAUAACUAAAAUAUGACACUGUUUUGAAAUAAAGUAGAUUUUUCUUAAACUA